rfam:Citrus clementina cultivar Clemenules unplaced genomic scaffold scaffold_1121, whole genome shotgun sequence.
AGGAGCCGUAUGAGGUGAAAAUCUCAUGUACGGUUUUGUAAUAGCGAUGGAAACCGUAAUGUUACCACCGACUAUGAU